CGCGCAAAUUACCCACUCCCAGCACGGGGAGGUGGUGACGAAAAAUACCGAUGCGGGACUCCCAAACGAGGCUCCGUAAUCGGAAUGAGUCAACUAUAAAUCCUUUAACGAGGAUCAAUUGGAGGGCAAGUCUGGUGCCAGCAGCCGCGGUAACUCCAGCUCCAAUAGCGUAUAUUAAAGUUGCUGCAGUUAAAAAGCUCGUAGUUGGAUCUCGGUAUCAUUGUUACCUGCCGGCCUUGCAAGCGUUGGCCUAUCGAUAUAUGGGUGAGCCUGUGUGUCAUAGUGUCAGCUGUUUCGGGUUGGUGUGGCGGCGGUGACACCUUUCAGCCAUGUCUGUGGUGAAAUAUCCACAGGUGUAGGCGAGUGUCACGCGGUGCCCUGCAACUGUGGGGUUCGUCGGCUUGUCUGCAUGCCUAUGGAUGCCCUUCAAAAGGUGUCUGUGGGCGGAUGGCACGUUUACUUUGAACAAAUUUGAGUGCUCAAACCACGCCGAUGUUGCCUGAAAAGUUUUGCAUGGAAUAAUGGGAAUAGGACUUCCGGUUCUACUCGUUGGGUUUUUCGGAUCGA
rnacentral:rRNA from 1 species